CUAAGAAGAAGGGAGGUUUAAACUUAUUUCACUCGUGACCACGUGGCUAGCAAGGAAUUAACUUCUCCAAGGAGAGCUUUGUUACCUACCAACGGAUACUUAGAGACUACAGAAAGAAUCUCAACUCCUCUAAUAGUACUUCGUUAGGAAUGAGAUACUUGGGCGCAGGAAUUAACAUUUGCAGCCCUAUCCGUAUUACUCUUCCAAACUCUGCACCACGUUUUGUGCCCCUUUAUUUUCUUCUGUCAAGAACGUUUAAACUUUCCUUUCCAGGCACAGUUCUCUGCAGUUUGCAUAAAAGUUUUAGCAAGUAAGCAACAAAAUUAAGAACCAGAAUCCUGGACAGUAAACCCAAGUGAAGAACUAUAUUCCCAGGCUUGGCAGGUAGAUAUGUAAAUAAUAGUCACUGAGUAGGGCUUUUAUGAAAGCGAUUUAUCCCCUUUUCUCCUUGCCCUCCCUCAUUUCCCAUCUUGGAAUGUGACUGCGAUGACCUGAGCCCUGCAACAAUUUUAUGACUUGAGGAUUGAAUCGAUACACUGAGGAUGGUGGAGGAGGAAGACGGGAAAAGCUGCAGGCCCUCUAACUUUGUAGAGCUGCCUAUCAGCUGCCUGACUCCAUUUAAGUAAGAGAAUAAAAAUCCUAAUUCCUUCAAACUACUGUAGUAACGUCUUUUUAACCAGCAGCUGGCAAGUAAUUCCUGGUGGAUUCAAGGAAAUUUUUAAGCUCUCUGAAAACUGAACCUCCCUUAUUACACGUAAGUCUUCUUUUUACCUCUCU
rnacentral:lncRNA from 1 species